GUGCCAGCCGCCGCGGUAAGACGAACCGUGCGAACGUUGUUCGGAAUAACUGGGCUUAAAGGGAGCGUAGGCGGGCUAACAAGUCUGGGGUGAAAUCCCGCGGCUCAACCGUGGAACUGCCUCAGAUACUGUCGGCCUCGAGGGAGAUAGGGGCAUGCGGAACUAACGGUGGAGCGGUGAAAUGCGUUGAUAUCGUUAGGAACUCCGGUGGCGAAAGCGGCGUGCUGGAUCUCUUCUGACGCUGAGGCUCGAAAGCUAGGGGAGCAAACGGGAUUAGAAACCCUGGUAGUCC
rnacentral:rRNA from 1 species